rnacentral:rRNA from 1 species
UACGGAGGGUGCGAGCGUUGUCCGGAAUCACUGGGCGUAAAGGGCGCGUAGGCGGCCUGAUAAGUAGGGGGUGAAAUCCUGCGGCUUAACCGCAGGGCUGCCUUCUAAACUGUCAGGCUAGAGCACAGUAGAGGCAGGUGGAAUUCCCGGUGUAGCGGUGGAAUGCGUAGAGAUCGGGAAGAACAUCAGUGGGCGAAGGCGCCUGCGUGGG